GGACGAACGCUGGCGGCGUGCUUAACACAUGCAAGUCGAGCGGUAAGGCCCUUUCGGGGGUACACGAGCGGCGAACGGGUGAGUAACACGUGGGUGACCUGCCCUCAGCUCUGGGAUAAGCCUGGGAAACCGGGUCUAAUACUGGAUAUGACUCCAUGACGCAUGUUGUGGGGUGGAAAGCCUUGUGCGGCUGAGGAUGGGCCCGCGGCCUAUCAGCUUGUUGGUGGGGUGANGGCCUACCAAGGCGACGACGGGUAGCCGGCCUGAGAGGGCGACCGGCCACACUGGGACUGAGACACGGCCCAGACUCCUACGGGAGGCAGCAGUGGGGAAUCUUGCGCAAUGGGCGAAAGCCUGACGCAGCGACGCCGCGUGAGGGAUGACGGCCUCGG
rnacentral:rRNA from 1 species